rnacentral:rRNA from 1 species
GGGAUAUUGGACAAUGGGGGAAACCCUGAUCCAGCGACGCCGCGUGAGUGAAGAAGUAUUUCGGUAUGUAAAGCUCUAUCAGCAGGGAAGAAAGAAAUGACGGUACCUGAGUAAGAAGCCCCGGCUAACUACGUGCCAGCAGCCGCGGUAAUACGUAGGGGGCAAGCGUUAUCCGGAAUUACUGGGUGUAAAGGGAGCGUAGACGGUAAUGCAAGUCUGGAGUGAAAGGCGGGGGCCCAACCCCCGGACUGCUCUGGAAACUGUGUAACUGGAGUGCAGGAGAGGCAGGCGGAAUUCCUAGUGUAGCGGUGAAAUGCGUAGAUAUUAGGAGGAACACCGGUGGCGAAGGCGGCCUGCUGGACUGCAACUGACGUUGAGGCCCGAAAGCGUGGGGAGCAAACA